CGUUCUGUGGCUUAGUUGGUUAAAGCACCGGUCUAGCAAAUACGAAGUCUUGGGUUCAAAUCUCACCAGAAUGC
rfam:Aedes albopictus isolate Foshan contig51221, whole genome shotgun sequence.